UGUUCGGGUUACAGAAGGGCAGCAUACCAUGCUGAUAUUUAUGAUGAAAUAUUACCAGAGUUGAAAAGGCUUAGCUUACAUUCUGAGUGUGUUGGCGGUGGCCGUAUUGAACACAGCAGUGAAUCUGAAAAAUUAUUUGUAUAUGGCUAUUCAAUGGGUUUUGGACAAGCUGAUCAUUCAAUUACAACAGGAAUACUUAAGAAGUUUUUCCCAUCAUAUAAAUCUAUAACAUUUUCCAAUGAAGGAUACUAGUUGUAAAGCAACAUUUAUAUAUAUCUUGUUACAAAAU